UGUUGAUUUUAAGUGUAUUUUUAAAUGUUUUAAAAUAAUAUUGUAUAAAUUGUAUGAAUUGUAUAUAAUGUAUCAAAUAAUCUUUUUAACAUAUAUUGUAUUAAUUACAAUAUAUUUGUAAAAGAUUAUUUGAUACAUGACUUUUUUGAAACAAUUUGGAAAUUUUUUAAAAACAUUCAAAAACGUUAUUGAACAUUAUUUUAGUAACAUAGUAAUAAUGCUUACUGGAUUAUAGAAAGCUUAUCACAUAGAGUGCCUGCGUUUUUUUUUUUUUGACACCUAGUUGAACGAACAGAUAUUAUCUGUAUUCAGUGUGAUAUCUGUAAAGACGUCACUCUCGUAAUUUCCAAGCAAAACAAAAAUCAUUAUGACAUCAGUCCGACGUCAAAAUAACUUCAAGAUAAUUAUUGAUGAGUCACUUUUCGAUCACGAUUUAUUUUAAAGUUAUUUUAACAUUAUUGUGUGACUUUGUUGUUUUGCUUGGAUGCACGUGAUAAAUCACCAGAUAUUCUUCGUAGUGUAUGUAAUUAAAAUAUUAAAAAUUACGGAGAAAUCUUUUGUGACGAUGAUCUUUUGUGACAAUGUCAUAAUUCCGCGAGCAAUAACGGAGAUUGAUGAAGGUGUUUACGUGCAUUUCUCACAGUCAACGUUUGACGUUGCCUUAACGCAUUUCAGCACCGAGAUCGAUUGUUUGAAUUAAUUCAUAUUAAUUUAAUAUCUACUUGUCCUUUUAUAGAUUAUCGUGUCCCUGUACAAGAAAGGCAAGAUUAAUUAAUGUCAGAUUAAUUAAUCUUAUACUACUCAUUGUGAAAGGUAUUUAAGAUCCACUGAGAUCAGAGCCACACGAUGCCAGUAGCUAUAGUAGAUACUGUAUAUUUCCCGCAUCUAUGUCAGAUAUACAAGGGGAUGGUUCUGCGGAUACCCCUCCUGUAAUUAUGGGCCGCCGGCUAUUUGGAAAUUAAUCGGGUCACCUGUGCUGCUCGUAGACAAUCAACGCUAAUUACAAUCACUAGAAAUGGAAUUGUUGGAGACUGUUCUAAGCUAACCAUUACCCCUUAUCAGCGAGAUGAAGCAAAUGAGGAUGGUUGCUAAUUCCGUUCCAUUGUAUUAAAUCAACGUUUUCAGAAAACUCUGUCCUUUUAAGAAAAAAAUCUGAGUUUGGAGAGAUCUCGGUUAUGGAAAUUUAGCUGCGGAAAAUUUUGCAGAAUUGUAAAGUGGGAAAAAGGAUGCUCCAACAAUUGCGGAGACUGCGGACGAGUUAAUUAAGCUCUCUUGUUCGGCAUGUUUUACUCGGAGCUAUGAGCUCGAAAUCGAAAUUAAUUAACUGACUCUAUCGAUGCAAUAAUUACAAUUGAUCGGAACCUUUGAAUUUGUAAAAUCAAGGCGGAAAAAAUCAAAUCGCUUUUAAUUCAAUUUUUAUUAUUCAUGUUAGGAAUAUAAUUAUCUUAUAUAAUUUUAUGUACACAUAAUGAGUGAAUCUGUAAUUACUCGGUUUCAUUUUGUUUGCGUUUAUUGUGAAGAUUCCAAAUCCGGGUUAAUCAAUCGCGUGCACAGAAUGAACAAUGUUAUUGCCUAACUGAAACACUAAUUACUCUUCUCUAUUUACAUGACGCUAUUGAAAUUACGUUCUUCUGUUUAGAACCAAUUAAAUUAUUAAAGCAAGAAAUUAUAUACAUACAUGUAUUGUAUAUAGAGAAAGAUCAAUUUGACAUAUCAGUUUGUUUUCAGAUAAUAUUAAUAAGCAAAAGCUAAAAAUAAAAUAUUAUAAACAUGAAUACAAACUAAAAAAUGUUUUUUAUUAAAUGGUAUAGCUAUUUUUAUAAUGUUUUACAUUUUGUAAUUAUUAUAUAAUAUUUUCGCAACAUAAAAGUAUCUGAGAAAAUGGCACAGUAGGCAGCAAUAUCAGAAAUCAGACACGGCCCC